rnacentral:sRNA from 1 species
CGGCAUGUUCGACCAGAAGUCCUCCAGCCACGAGCGGCGAGCCUUCCUGCAGGCCAUCCUGGAGCACGAGGAGCAGGACGAGGAGGAAGACGAGGUGCCUGACGACGAGACCGUCAACCAGAUGAUCGCCCGGCAUGAGGAGGAGUUUGAUCUGUUCAUGCGCAUGGACCUGGACCGCAGGCGCGAGGAGGCCCGCAACCCCAAGCGAAAGCCGCGCCUCAUGGAGGAGGACGAGCUCCCCUCAUGGAUCAUCAAGGACGAUGCGGAGGUGGAGCGGCUGACCUGUGAGGAGGAGGAGGAGAAGAUGUUCGGCCGUGGCUCCCGCCACCGCAAGGAGGUGGACUACAGCGACUCACUGACGGAGAAGCAGUGGCUCAAGAAAAUUACAGGAAAAGAUAUCCAUGACACAGCCAGCAGUGUGGCACGUGGGCUACAAUUCCAGCGUGGCCUUCAGUUCUGCACACGUGCGUCAAAGACCCUGAAGGCCAUCGAGGAGGGCACGCUGGAGGAGAUCGAAGAGGAGGUCCGGCAGAAGAAAUCAUCACGGAAGCGCAAGCGAGACAGCGACGCCGGCUCCUCCACCCCGACCACCAGCACCCGCAGCCGCGACAAGGAUGACGAGAGCAAAAAGCAGAAGAAGCGCGGGCGGCCGCCUGCCGAGAAGCUCUCCCCAAACCCGCCCAACCUCACCAAGAAGAUGAAGAAGAUUGUGGAUGCCGUGAUCAAGUACAAGGACAG